rnacentral:rRNA from 1 species
AGAGUUUGAUCCUGGCUCAGGAUGAACGCUGGCGGCGUGCCUAACACAUGCAAGUCGAGCGAUCUUCUUCGGAAGAGAGCGGCGGACGGGUGAGUAACGCGUGGGUAACCUGCCUCAUACACAUGGAUAACAUACCGAAAGGUAUGCUAAUACAAGAUGAUAUAAGAGAUUCGCAUGGAUUUCUUAUCAAAGCUCCGGCGGUAUGAGAUGGACCCGCGUCUGAUUAGCUAGUUGGUAAGGUAACGGCUUACCAAGGCGACGAUCAGUAGCCGACCUGAGAGGGUGAUCGGCCACAUUGGAACUGAGACACGGCCCAAACUCCUACGGGAGGCAGCAGUGGGGAAUAUUGCACAAUGGGCGAAAGCCUGAUGCAGCAACGCCGCGUGAGCGAUGAAGGCCUUCGGGUCGUAAAGCUCUGUCCUCAAGGAAGAUAAUGACGGUACUUGAGGAGGAAGCCCCGGCUAACUACGUGCCAGCAGCCGCGGUAAUACGUAGGGGGCUAGCGUUAUCCGGAUUUACUGGGCGUAAAGGGUGCGUAGGUGGUUUCUUAAGUCAGGAGUGAAAGGCUACGGCUCAACCGUAGUAAGCUCUUGAAACUGGGAAACUUGAGUGCAGGAGAGGAAAGUGGAAUUCCUAGUGUAGCGGUGAAAUGCGUAGAUAUUAGGAGGAACACCAGUAGCGAAGGCGGCUUUCUGGACUGUAACUGACACUGAGGCACGAAAGCGUGGGGAGCAAACAGGAUUAGAUACCCUGGUAGUCCACGCUGUAAACGAUGAGUACUAGGUGUCGGGGGUUACCCCCCUCGGUGCCGCAGCUAACGCAUUAAGUACUCCGCCUGGGGAGUACGCUCGCAAGAGUGAAACUCAAAGGAAUUGACGG